rnacentral:lncRNA from 1 species
UUUAAUUAUUUUUUAAAUUAUUGUUUAAUUGUUGUUUCCAAGUUAUUGUAACUGAAUCUUAUGAUAUUUAUGAAAUGAAUGUUGUUUUUAGUAUAACGCAAAAUGGUUACAAUUAAAAUUAUAUUGAUGUGCUUGGUCCACACUGAGACAAUUUGUACGAUUAUGACCGAGUUGGCGACAUGAACUACAUAAUCUAACCAUUUUCUUCAUCGUAUCCAUUUUGGUUCGAAUAUGAGUGUUGUUUGGGCGACCCUUUUU